CCUUCCUGGAUUAUUUUGCUUACUGCCAAAGGUCCACAUGGAUCAGACAUCUGGAAAUUGUAACUGGUCACUGACGCAAAGAUGCAGCAAGGAGUACAGGUGGAUUCAGCAGCUACAGGUGUGUCUCCCUGGGGUUUAACCUGAGGGAGCACAAGACUGGGACACACUAAUAUACCUGACUAAGAAGGGGGCAAACACAAGGCAGCUGUGACUGGUUAUCAGGAGGGCAAGAACGAGAUAAGACUGAUAAAGC